rnacentral:rRNA from 1 species
ACUCCCAAACCCAUGUGAACUUACCUUCUGUUGCCUCGGCAGGUCGGGUUUACCCUGUGAGGUCUUACCCUGUAAGACCCUACCUGGUAGACCCGGGUACGCCUGCCGGUGGCCCAUGAAACUCUGUUUAUUCUAUGUUAUUCUGAAUCUAUAACUAAAUAAGUUAAAACUUUCAACAACGGAUCUCUUGGUUCUGGCAUCGAUGAAGAACGCAGCGAAAUGCGAUAAGUAAUGUGAAUUGCAGAAUUCAGUGAAUCAUCGAAUCUUUGAACGCACAUUGCGCCCAUUAGUAUUCUAGUGGGCAUGCCUGUUCGAGCGUCAUUUCAACCCUUAAGCCCCUGUUGCUUAGCGUUGGGAGCCUACAGCCUUCUGUAGCUCCCCAAAGUUAGUGGCGGAGUCGGUUUCCACUCUAGACGUAGUAGAUUCUAUCUCGUCUGUAGUGAGGCCGGUCCCCUGCCGUAAAACCCCCCUAAUUUUAAAGGUUGACCUCGGAUCAGGUAGGAAUACCCGCUGAACUUAAGCAUAUCAAGCCGGGGAGAGGAGAAACCUUAAAGAGUUAAUUACAACUCCCAAACCCAUGUGAACUUACCUUCUGUUGCCUCGGCAGGUCGGGUUUACCCUGUGAGGUCUUACCCUGUAAGACCCUACCUGGUAGACCCGGGUACGCCUGCCGGUGGCCCAUGAAACUCUGUUUAUUCUAUGUUAUUCUGAAUCUAUAACUAAAUAAGUUAAAACUUUCACAACGGAUCUCUUGGUUCUGGCAUCGAUGAAGAACGCAGCGAAAUGCGAUAAGUAAUGUGAAUUGCAGAAAUUCAGUGAAUCAUCGAAUCUUUUG